CCUGUUUUUUGGUCAAAUGUCCCGACAAUUUUAAAUGGAAUGUCCCGCUUUGGACCUUAAAAUUUAUGGCAUGUAUGAUCUUUGAAUACUUCAAAAGUAAAAUGUCGAACUGAUACGUUCAUUUUGUGCAAUAUAUUUUAGCUCAACUGAGCACUAAGUGCUUAUUGAGAGCUUUUUGGAUACCAUGAUGUCCGUGGUCCCUCAGUUUGUUUAGUGCAUGCCAUAUUUUUAUGGCCCCUUUCGAAGAAAAGGGGGCAUAUAGUGAUCGGACUGUUCGUCCGUCUUUCCGUCACACUUUGCGUUUAGGUUUCGAAAAAUGCUCAUAACUUCUAUGUCCCUUGAGAUAUAACCUUCAUAUUUGGUAUGCAUGUGUAUAUAAACAAGGCCUUUCCAUACGCACACAAAUUUUGGCCCCUGUGACCUUGACCUUGAACUUAGGGUCCGCGUUUAGGUUUUGAAAUCUGCGUUUAGGUUUCCAAAAAAGCGCAUAACUUCUAUCAAGCGUUUAUAGGGGGCAUUAGUCAUCCUAUGGUGACGGCUCUUGUUUUCUUCUAUUCUUCAAAAACCCAUUAACAGAUUUUUAGAAAGUUCAUAGGAAUGAUCAUUGGCCUACCCUGCUUCAAAAUUGAUUUUCAAAUCAUGCAGGUAGUAUCAGAAUUUGCCCCACCCUAGUAUUAUUUGUUUCCAUUUUAUUUAUAUAGUGAAAACCACAAAAUUUUGAAACCUCAAUGACCAAAGGUUUGAUAUUUGGAGUGUAACAUCCCAGAGUUGUCCUCUACAAAACUUGUUCAAAUCACGUGCAAGGGGUCAAACUCGGCCCUGUCUUGGGGGUUACUUGUUUCCCUAAUACAAAAUGUUUGUAUCAAUUGCAAACUGAAACAUCUUCUCUGAUAUUGCAAGAUUUGUUUGGCAUCUAGCAACUCAUGUUGACCCUUUCCAAGCUUUUUUCAAAUCAUGUCACUGGGGGUCAAUUUUAACCCAUCCUGGUUUCUCUUAAAUGAAUAUAGUGAAAUUUAAAAAAAAUAUUGGCAUUUAAAAUUUAAAAGACCCAAACUGAAAGGUUUAGUAUUUUGCAUGUAACAUCGUUUAGUGAUCCUUUCUGAAAUAUUUUAAGUAUAUACUUUGUUUCCAAUAUAACCUUACAACAUUGCAAUAUACACUUUGAUACACCAUUUUGAUUUUAACUAUAGAUACUGCGUUAUGAUACAUCCUUGUGCAUGCAUUUAAUUCUAAUAUUAUAGAACAUCUAAUAAAAUAUAUUUUGUAAGUGUGCAAUUUGAAUAUAUAACUUUAUAACAUGAAUAUCGUACAAAAAUAAAUAUGGUAGAUAUUACUUACAUGCUCUAGUGUAUGUAAGAAUUGUUUUUAUUUAAUUUAAGUUUUGCACACAAAUAUAUGUCCAUUUAAAAGAUGUCUUCUACCAAGUUAGUUCCAAUUAUGCUCCUUGGGUCAAUACUGGUGUAACUUGUUUCAAUUAUAUGUAUACAUAUAUGUAUAAUUAAAACUUUAAAAAUAUUCUCCUUUAAAGGCCCAGAUGUUAUGUAUUUUGCACAUAUUGUCAAAUGUUUGUCCUCAACCAUAUGAGUUCAAAUCAUGCACCUGGGGUCAAAAUUGGCCUCGGCUUAUGUGUAACUUGUUUUCCUGAUAUGUGUAAAGUGAAAACAAAAAAGACUCCUCUGAAACCACAAGGCCCUAAGAUUUGAAAGUUUGCAUGUAACCUCUCAGAGUGGUUAUCUAUAAAGCUCUUCAAGUCAUGUACCUGAGCCAAAUGGCCUCGCCUGUGUCUUCCUUAUAUAACUAUAACGUAGUGAAGACUUUUUAUCGCAAGAAUCCAAAACCACCAUGCCCAUAGGUUUGAUAUUUGACAAGUUACAUUGGUUUGUGCUCCCCUACCAGGUUUUGCCAUGUCCUUGGGGGUCAAACAAGUCCCAGCGCUGGUUCUAACUUGUUUUCCAUAUAUAAAUAUUGUGAAUACACUAAACACCUUUUUCUCUGAAACCGCAAGGUGUUUGGUAAUUAUUAUGUAGCAUAAUUGGAUUGUCCUCUACCUUUUUAUGCCCCCCCCCCCCCCCCCGAUCAAAUGAUUGGGGGUAUAUUGUUUUUGGCCUGUCUGUCUGUCAUUCUGUCCCAAAACUUUAACCUUGGUUAAAGUUUUGCAAUAUUGCAUAACUUUUGCAAUAUUGAAGAUAGCAACUUGAUAUGUGGCAUGCAUGUGUAUCUCAUGGAGCUGCACAUUUUGAGUGGUGAAAGGUCAAGGUCAUCCUUCUAAGUCAAAGGUCAAAAAAGUGGCGCAUUAGGGGGCAUUGUGUUUCUGACAAACACAUCUCUUGUUUGCUAAAAUAUGAUGCCCAUGAGGUCUUGAUUGGCCUUGUCCUAGUUAUUUAUUUAUCAUAAAACAUGACCACCAGGAUGCAAGGCAGUCUUCCUUUUAUGGCUAAAGUGAGCACUCUAUAAGUCAUACUAUUUUGCAAUCAUCCUUAAACUUUCUAAGAACAUUUGUUGUAAUAUCUUGGCUUAUUUCUAUAAACGUUACUGAGCCCCACAAAAGCUGCCCAGAAUAGUUCAGUUCCUUUAGGUCUCAGGUGAGCAACGUUAUGACUUAUUUCUCUUGUUAUUAAGUAUGAUCCUGUGUAUGGAACGCUGUGUGACUUUUUGUAGAAAAAAAAUACUUAGGGGUAUACAUCAUUUAAAGUAACCAAUACAAAAUGCACGGAGUGUAUAUUGACAGGAGAUGAAUCGAGUAUUUGACCCUUACUGUAGUAAAUUCAAUCUUAUGCAAGACCUAUUCAUCCGAUUUUAUUGGUUUAUACGUUAUCUUGUUGCUUAUUAAUUCCUCUUUCAAAAAAAUAUAACUUUUAGUAUAUUCCCGUUGUUAUUAAUGGAUUUAUAGCGAGUUAAACACAAGAAAUACACAUUUUAUGUUUUACCACCGCGCGUUUUAACGUGUUGUGGCUAUCGAUCUUUUACGAUUAGCGUACAGCGAAGUGCCGAGGUUAUACAUUUUGAUGUACCCACUCACGUCUUUUGUUAAAUUAUAGUUUCAUUUCUCGGCCGAUUUUGACAAAUUAUAUAUCAUUAGAAAGCUUACGUUACGUAGUAAACAGAUAUAUCAAUAUAUAUUAAGUUUUUCUUCUGAUUUCGACAGCCCGGCGAGUUAUAACUUAAACUUUUGCAAAUAUCAUACCGUUUUGGAGUUUUAUAAUCUAGAUUUACGGUUGACAUGUUCGUACUUAAUACCAAUUUGUAGCGUUUAUAUUUGGAGUUCAGUUUUAAAAAUUACAUCUUGCUUAGGAGAAUAGAAUUCUGUAUACGAUAGAAAAAAAAUUUGUUUAAAAACGAAAGUAAUUAAGGAAUGAAGGCGGGAAAAUGUAGCGCGCGUUCCUAACGCACUGAACUGAUGCUACGGUCUUGGCGAUUAUGCUUUUGUUUAGAAACCGGCCAUUUAAUUUCUUUUGCCAUCUUAUUAUAUUUUUGAGGGAAUAUAUUGUAGUAUUUUGUUCACGAAACAUAUCAAUAAAACCUUAUUAUAAAUGAAUCUUUAUAAAUUAACGAUUUCAGCUCUUGUUUAUAACACAGAAAGGGUGUAAAAUUUAUGAUGAAACAGCGUAUAUAGCGGACCCUCUCGAUAUUAUUCGGUUUUGCAUGCAUACUUGAAAUAAAAUGGGUGUCAAAAACA